UACGUAGGUGGCGAACGUUGUCCGGAUUUACUGGGCGUAAAGCGCGCGUAGGCGGACUGGUAAGUCAGAGGUGAAAUCUCCCGGCUCAACUGGGAGGGUGCGCCGAAUACUGAAUGACUAGAGUGCGGGAGAGGAAAGUGGAAUUCCUGGUGUAGCGGUGAAAUGCGUAGAUAUCAGGAGGAACACCGGUGGCGAAGGCGGGUCUCUGGGCCGUUACUGACGCUGAGGAGCGAAAGCGUGGGGAGCGAACAGG
rnacentral:rRNA from 1 species